UGGCGGCGUGCCUAACACAUGUCAAGUCGAACGGGGUUAAAGUGAAAUUUUCGGAUGGAUCUUUAACUUAGUGGCGGACGGGUGAGUAACGCGUGGAUAACCUGCCUCGCACAGGGGGAUAGCAGCUGGAAACGGCUGGUAAUACCGCAUAAGACCACGGCCCUGCAUGGGGCUGAGGUAAAAGAUUUAUCGGUGCGAGAUGGAUCCGCGUCUGAUUAGCCAGUUGGCGGGGUAACGGCCCACCAAAGCGACGAUCAGUAGCCGGCCUGAGAGGGUGAACGGCCACAUUGGGACUGAGACACGGCCCAAACUCCUACGGGAGGCAGCAGUGGGGAAUAUUGCACAAUGGGCGCAAGCCUGAUGCAGCAACGCCGCGUGAGUGAAGAAGUAUUUCGGUAUGUAAAGCUCUAUCGGCAGGGAAGAAAGGCCCGAAAGGGAGAUGACGGUACCUGACUAAGAAGCCCCGGCUAACUACGUGCCAGCAGCCGCGGUAAUACGUAGGGGGCAAGCGUUAUCCGGAUUUACUGGGUGUAAAGGGAGCGCAGACGGCAGCGCAAGUCUGAUGUGAAAGCCCGGGGCUCAACCCCGGAACUGCAUUGGAAAACUGUACAGCUUGAGUGUCGGAGGGGUAAGCGGAAUUCCUAGUGUAGCGGUGAAAUGCGUAGAUAUUAGGAGGAACACCGGUGGCGAAGGCGGCUUACUGGACGAUCACUGACGUUGAGGCUCGAAAGCGUGGGGAGCAAACAGGAUUAGAUACCCUGGUAGUCACGCUGUAACGAUGAAUACUAGGUGUGGUGUGCCUGGACAUC
rnacentral:rRNA from 1 species